rnacentral:tRNA from 1 species
CAUUAUGAAGCUAAUUAGCGUUAACCUUUUAAGUUAAAGAUUGGGAACACUAAUCCCCAUAAUGA